UCUUCCCGUGGACGUAGCCAAUUUAUUGGUGAACCACGUAAAUCUGUUGUCUUGUUUUUCUCGUUUAUAUAUUUUCUCGUAUUAUCUCAAAUUCCGCACAACAACUUCAAUUGAUAGUUGUACAGAAAGUAAUAUGUAUUGUACUGUAAGUUGACAAUCUGCUUAACACGUGUAUUGCUCUCAAUAUGCACGGGCAACUCUUGCCUAGUCUUUUAUAGAAGCCAACUAGCAGUGUACGAACACUUCAAUUGAUAGUUGUACAGAAAGUAAUAUGUAUUGUACUGUAAGUUGACAAUCUGCUUAACACGUGUAUUGCUCUCAAUAUGCAGCUCUGUGUUUUUCUUUUUAGAGGUUACACGUUUUUCCUUUGGAAUACUUGCUUUCUUUUUACUUCAAAUUUCACUUCUUCUUCCCUAUGUUCUUCACACAUUGAUUCUUUCUAUUUAUCUUUGUUUCUUUCAUUCAUCACUUUUAAUUUUCAAUUUUGCAUCUCACUUUUCUUUUGUUUCAGAAUAAUUUGUAUGGUAUUUUUGAAUUUUCAGUCGGCCGUUCGUGCUUGUCUCUAGAUUAUGACCAAAAAGGUAAGUGAUGUCUCAGGUGAUUGUAAAGAAGGAGAAUGAGCAUAUGAUCAAAGUUCAAAGCUCUAAAAGAAGAAUAUGUAUAGUGACAGAGAAAAUUUUGAGUGUCUGCCAAGUACUAUUCAAUAGCACUACUAGAGGAAAAGAGGAGAUCGCUUCAAUGCUCUCCUGAAUGAAUGAGGCUACGUACAUAAACAAAGGUUCCAUGCUCUGUCGAUUUCAAUCUGGCUUUUUAUAAAUAUAAAAAAAUGUUUGGCUAUUAUGUAGGAGCUUGCUAGGCUCUCAAUCACUUUAAUCAAAUUUUGGACAUUAUAUAAAUUUUAUUUGAAAAAUGAGGCAGAUCUGCAGAACAAAAGACAAUUCACGAGUGACUUACCAUAACUUCUUAUAGAAAUGCAAAAUGGUGGUGUUGGUGAAUAUCGUGGAAUAUAACUUUGUACACUUAAUGUCAAAUGAUUGAGACACGCAAAAUGGUCACGGUAAAACACUUUUAUAUGUAUCAUGAGUUGGGCACUAUGCUUUUGCGAAACGCUUGGGCUACGAUGGUGCCCCAAUAGGUAAUUGUAAAAGUUGGCAUUGACAAUGUUUACUUGAAGACUCGGGUAAAAUCACUCACGAAGGUCCAUUAUUUAGUGUGCAUAAAUAUGAAUUAAACACUUCAUCAUGAUCUUUGCCUUUGACUGUUUGUGCUCUCUCACUUUUCAAACUGAGAUUCUCCAUUCGGGGCGUCUUUCGUGGCUGUUUUCAUGUCCUUUUAAGGUAUCCAGAAUUAUUAGUAUUACUAUUUAUUUCCCUUUCUGCCCAUUAUUAUUCUAUCUUUGUGUAUGUGACAAUUAAUUUAGUUACUCUACAAUUGGCUGGGGAAUACAACCAAGCGUGGAGCUAGAUGUGGACAAUAGCUACUCCACCAAAAUCAAUUUGGGAGUCGUUUUCAACUCUUUUCACAUUGAGAGAGAGUGUAUUUUGUUUACGAUGGUUAUAAUCUGGUGUAGAAGAUUCAAGCUACGAUCCUUCCAACGCCAGAGUAGCAUUCAAAGUACCCAUGUGGAGGUGGUUUUGUAGUUGUUUACUCAGAGGUUUAAGGUAGUUAGAAUGUAUCUUGACUUGAGCUUCAGUUUAUCCUUCUAAUCAAGUUGCGCUGCACGAGUUUUACUACUGAAAUUAUACGUGUAAUCUCUUUAUUACUGAAAAAUUGCUAUAAUAUUUUUACUAAUGUAAUCUAUAAAUUAUGUUGUAAACAUUAAAGACAGUUGAAGUUGAAGAUGUUGUUGCUGGAAAAGUGUAAA